rnacentral:rRNA from 1 species
UACGUAGGGUGCAAGCGUUAAUCGGAAUUACUGGGCGUAAAGCGUGCGCAGGCGGUUAUGCAAGACAGGUGGGAAAUCCCCGGGCUCAACCUGGGAACUGCAUUUGUGACUGCAUGGCUAGAGUGCGGCAGAGGGGGAUGGAAUUCCGCGUGUAGCAGUGAAAUGCGUAGAUAUGCGGAGGAACACCGAUGGCGAAGGCAAUCCCCUGGGCCUGCACUGGCGCUCAUGCACGAAAGCGUGGGGAGCAAACAGG